rnacentral:rRNA from 1 species
CCAACAGGGAUUGCCCUAGUAACGGCGAGUGAAGCGGCAACAGCUCAAAUUUGAAAUCUGGCCCCCCGGCCCGAGUUGUAAUUUGUAGAGGAUGCUUCUGGGUAGCGACCGGUCUAAGUUCCUUGGAACAGGACGUCAUAGAGGGUGAGAAUCCCGUAUGUGACCGGCCCGCGCCCUCCACGUAGCUCCUUCGACGAGUCGAGUUGUUUGGGAAUGCAGCUCUAAAUGGGAGGUAAAUUUCUUCUAAAGCUAAAUACCGGCCUGAGACCGAUAGCGCACAAGUAGAGUGAUCGAAAGAUGAAAAGCACUUUGGAAAGAGAGUUAAAAAGCACGUGAAAUUGUUGAAAGGGAAGCGCUUACAACCAGACUUUGGGGCGGUGUUCCGCCGGUCUUCUGACCGGUCUACUCUCCGUCCCGAGGCCAACAUCAUCUGGGACCGCCGGACAAGACCCGAGGAAUGUAGCUCCCCCUCGGGGGAGUGUUAUAGCCUCUGGUGAUGCGGCGCGUCCCGGGUGAGGUCCGCGCUUCGGCAAGGAUGUUGGCGUAAUGGUUGUCAGCGGCCCGUCUUGAAACACGGACCAAGGAGUCUAACAUCUAUGCGAGUGUUCGGGUGUCAAA